rnacentral:rRNA from 1 species
GAUGAACGCUGGCGGCGUGCCUAAUACAUGCAAGUCGAGCGAACAGACGAGGAGCUUGCUCCUCUGACGUUAGCGGCGGACGGGUGAGUAACACGUGGAUAACCUACCUAUAAGACUGGGAUAACUUCGGGAAACCGGAGCUAAUACCGGAUAAUAUAUUGAACCGCAUGGUUCAAUAGUGAAAGCCGGUUUUGCUGUCACUUAUAGAUGGAUCCGCGCCGCAUUGGCUAGUUGGUAAGGUAACGGCUUACCAAGGCGACGAUGCGUAGCCGACCUGAGAGGGUGAUCGGCCACACUGGAACUGAGACACGGUCCAGACUCCUACGGGAGGCAGCAGGAGGGAAUCUUCCGCAAUGGGCGAAAGCCUGACGGAGCAACGCCGCGUGAGUGAUGAAGGUCUUCGGAUCGUAAAACUCUGUUAUUAGGGAAGAACAAAUGUGUAAGUAACUAUGCACGUCUUGACGGUACCUAAUCAGAAAGCCACGGCUAACUACGUG